UCCAGUGGAUUCAGACAUAAAACUUGGAUGCCCCAACUUGGGAUUUAGAGAUCUAGCCCAUCCCUUCCCACAGAUGAGGAAACUCAAGUCCAGACAGAAUAAGCAACCUGCCCAAGGUCACAAAGUAGGUUUCUUUCCAACUCUUCUCCAUCCUGUGCAUCCUGACAGCCAGAAGAGGUCAGAGAACAGAGGAGGUGCACGUUGGAGCCAACAUGAAAAUCUAGCUCCCUCAGCCCCGUGCCAACCUGAUCCAACUGGGGUCUCCUUCCUCCCAGAAUAAUCUGCCCCAAGGCGCUAAUUUGAAAGUCCCCUCUUUCUACGUUAUUCUCCUUCCUCAACAGAAAAGAAAACCUUGGCUUAGGACCCUUAGGGAAAAAGAUGUUAAGUAAAGACUUGAGAAUUAGGAGACCUG